CGCUAGGACUGUUUAAUAUUUUUUGUGAAGGGUUAAUUUUAAGGGUAUGUAAUAAGUGCUAUUGCUUAUCAAAUUGAUUUGUUAGUGCCACACCAUUAUAUAAAUUUAGGCUUUGUAUGGUAUGACUUUUUUAUUGCUUUUUAAAGUAGAGUUUUUGCACAAACAUUAAAAUUUUUGCACUAAAACUCUAUUUUCAGAAGUAAUAAAAAAAUCGUCCCAAAUGAAGUCUUAGUUAAUAUUCCUUAGUUUUUUUUAAUCUAUAUUACUAAGUCAAGCUCAUGAUAAAAUAUGAAAUUGUGAAAUUAUUGUGGAGCUCUGAUUAUGCCUGAAUCUGAACAAAUUGGAACAAGUAUAACUGCUUCAUUUUGCCGUUUUGGAUUCUAAGUUCUAUAUGAUGUCACAUGAACAGACUAAUAUCUAGCCUUGCCUGUUUUCAAACCGUUUCAUAUUUGUAACAUUGUCUUUUAUAGUUGUUUUGCAAAGCUCUUUUCAAUUAAUAAAUCAUCCCGGUUUGAAAUGCAUAAGUAGCAGUAGCACUUUACAGAACCAGUAUAUAUAUAUCUUCCAAUAUAGAAUUAUAAAACUAAUUUUGACCCUUCGACAAGGUGGACUUUUUCCUUUUGCGCGAGGAUUUUGAUAUGUGCAUCCACAAAAUUAGCUACUGAAAAUAUGUUCUCAGGUAACAAGCAACGAAACCAUCAAAAUAUGAAUCUGAUCACACAAUGAUUCCAUAAAUGAGGUUUCAUCUCAUGUGUAUUGACCAAAUAUCCUCUGAAAGAUGCUCUUUACCCUACAAAUUUGAAUUGAAAUUUUCCAACAAUUGUUGUCCUUAAGCCAAAAGGAUCUUACAUGAGGUCAGGGAGUAGAAAAUCAAAUAUAAAGAAGCUUUCGGAGGCCAUCUAUAUUUUCCAACACGAUCAUGUGGAGCUAGCCUUUUGCAUGGUGGAUAUAUCAUCUAUGAAUAGUAUGGUUUACAUGCUCAGAUCUCCUUGAUUGCCAAUUUUGAUAGUAGGUCGUGGUCUUUGCAAGCUCAGUUAGAUCGCUUGUUUAUACCUUCCGAAAACUGAAACAAUUGUUUCAAGUGCAGAAAGAUCCGAUCAGUUGCAGUAUCUCAAACAGAUUUAAAGUGGACUCAGAUUAAUCUUCUAGUCGAGUUGAUUCAAUUUGGAUUCUAAUUGAUUUUGAUUCAAAUUUGGUUUCAGCACAUGUAAUCGAUCUUAAGUUAUAAUUGAGGCCAUAUGGCUUGAAUUCGACUCAA